rnacentral:rRNA from 1 species
AUUGAACGCUGGCGGCAGGCCUAACACAUGCAAGUCGAACGAGUGGCGGACGGGUGAGUAAUGUCUGGGAAACUGCCUGAUGGAGGGGGAUAACUACUGGAAACGGUAGCUAAUACCGCAUACCAUCGGAUGUGCCCAGAUGGGAUUAGCUAGUAGGGGGGGUAACGGCUCACCUAGGCGACGAUCCCUAGCUGGUCUUAGAGGGUGACCCGGCAAACUGGGACUGAGAAACGGGUCCGACCUCCAAGGGAGGGCGGAGUGGGGAAUAUUUGAACAAGGGCGAAAGUCUGAAGGCGCCAAGGCGGGUGUGUGAAGGAGGGCUUCGGGUUUGAAAAGUCUUUUAGUCGGGAAGAGGUACCCGCAGAAGAAGCACCGGCUAACUCCGUGCCAGCAGCCGCGGUAAUAC